CAAUCAAACCGGGAGAUAGCUGGUUCUCCCCGAAAGCUAUUUAGGUAGCGCCUCGUGAAUUCAUCUCCGGGGGUAGAGCACUGUUUCGGCUAGGGGGCCAUCCCGGCUUACCAACCCGAUGCAAACUGCGAAUACCGGAGAAUGUUAUCACGGGAGACACACGGCGGGUGCUAACGUCCGUCGUGAAGAGGGAAACAACCCAGACCGCCAGCUAAGGUCCCAAAGUCAUGGUUAAGUGGGAAACGAUGUGGGAAGGCCCAGACAGCCAGGAUGUUGGCUUAGAAGCAGCCAUCAUUUAAAGAAAGCGUAAUAGCUCACUGGUCGAGUCGGCCUGCGCGGAAGAUGUAACGGGGCUAAACCAUGCACCGAAGCUGCGGCAGCGAACGUAUCACCCAAGACAACUUUACGGAGUUGACGAUUGACGGAGCGAAGCGACGUCAAAGCGUUCAUUAAAGUCGAGUUGGCUUAGGGAUACGUUCGUUGGGUAGGGGAGCGUUCUGUAAGCCUGUGAAGGUGUGUCGUGAGGCAUGCUGGAGGUAUCAGAAGUGCGAAUGCUGACAUAAGUAACGAUAAAGCGGGUGAAAAGCCCGCUCGCCGGAAGACCAAGGGUUCCUGUCCAACGUUAAUCGGGGCAGGGUGAGUCGACCCCUAAGGCGAGGCCGAAAGGCGUAGUCGAUGGGAAACGGGUUAAUAUUCCCGUACUUGGUGUUACUGCGAAGGGGGGACGGAGAAGGCUAUGUUGGCCGGGCGACGGUUGUCCCGGUUUAAGCGUGUAGGUGUGUGUUCCAGGUAAAUCCGGUUCACUUUAACACUGAGGCGUGAUGACGAGGCACUACGGUGCUGAAGCAACAAAUGCCCUGCUUCCAGGAAAAGCCUCUAAGCAUCAGGUAACAUCAAAUCGUACCCCAAACCGACACAGGUGGUCAGGUAGAGAAUACCAAGGCGCUUGAGAGAACUCGGGUGAAGGAACUAGGCAAAAUGGUGCCGUAACUUCGGGAGAAGGCACGCUGACACGUAGGUGAAGU
rnacentral:rRNA from 1 species